AGUGUUGACAAAAAACAACGAAUUCGGAUGAUAAACCUUGUGUCCUCAGAUUCUGCUACAAAUGCCUCUUGGAUACGGGGAGAAGGCAUAAGAAGCUAUGAAGCACGGACACUCCUUGGAUAAGGCGUGUUCCCGUGUCAGACACGUGUCGUGUCGUGUCCGACACCAACACAUAUAAUUGCACUGCAUUUUGUGAUUUUCUAAAAAAUUUAGCUGUGUCGGUGUCCGUGUCGUGCCCGGUGUCGGUGUCCGUAUCCGUGCAUACAUGUUGAAGUAUUUUAUAUGUCCAAAGUGUACAACGAUUUACAACUGCAGAAGUUGCAUGUAAUUUAUAGUUAUAAUGAAAUUUGAGUUUGUGUUCUAUUCA